CUCUCCCCCCCAGAGUCUGGUUACUUCCAGAGAUCAAGUUCCAGCCUCUCGGCUGGUGAAUUAUUAAACUCCAUCAGUGCUCCCUUUGUACCACAUCUCUGUCUUCCUGCUGUCCUUCCUUGCUGGUGACAGGCUCUCUCCAUCCAGCUGGCUGUGCAGAAGCAGAGUCCUUCAGGCCAGAAUAGCACCUUGUGCUCUCCUUUGCUCUUUGCUUCUCUGACAGAGUGAAUAGGCUCCAGAGAUGGAUCUGUCCUACAGAUCCACCAUCUCCAUCUAUAAGAGUAUCCUGGAGCAGUUCAACCCUGCGCUGGAGAACCUGGUGUACCUGGGGAACAACUACCUGCGUGCUUUCCACGCACUAUCCAAAGCAGCUGAAGUGUAUUUUAAGGCAAUUGAGAAGAUUGGGGAGCAAGCACUACAGAGUUCCACCUCACACAUGCUGGGUGAAAUUCUGAUGCAGAUGUCUGACACGCAGAGACUACUGAGCUCUGAUUUGGAAGUUGUGGCUCAGACCUUCCACGUGGACCUGCUGCAGCACAUGGAGAAGAACAGCAAAAUGGAUGUGCAGUUUAUCAGUGAGAGCCAGAAGCAGUAUGAGCUGGAGUACCAGCGAAGAGCCACCAACCUGGAUAAGUGCAUGGCAGAGCUGUGGAGAAUGGAGAGGGCUCGAGACAAAAAUGCCCGGGAGAUGAAGGAGAAUGUGAUGCGGCUGCGCUCAGAGAUGCAGGCGUUCGUCUCUGAGAGCCAGAGGGAGGCUGAGCUGGAGGAGAAACGCCGCUACCGCUUCCUGGCUGAAAAGCACCAGAUGCUCUACAACACUCUCCUCCAGUUUUACAGCAGGGCUCGCGGCAUGAUCCAGACCAAGGCACCACGGUGGAAGGAGCAGCUGGAAGCCAGCCGUAACCCCUCAAACAGCCACUCACAGGGGCUGCUCUCAGCCUCCCACGGCCAGGGGUAUCCAUCAGGACGGCUCACACCCACCCACCUUGAGAUGUCCCAGAGACCCCUUGGGGACUUUACUUCUUCUAUGACUGGGAGUAGAUCCAGCAUCUUCUCUCCAGACCCUCCAGAAAUGAGAAUGUCUCCUCAGCCAGAGUCUCCCAGGCGGCCACUGCGGAGGACACCAUCAGCAGCCAGUUUGCUCCCCACGGGCCGCACGUCCCGUUCGGGUUCCUUUGGCGAGGCCAGCAGUGGCAGCGAGGGCAGGAAGAGGAGUGGCACAACAAGAGUUCAGGCCAUUGUGCCCCACACAACGGGUGCCAACCGGACCCUGCUGCGGUUUGAGCCCGGGGACGUCAUCACGGUGCUGAUGCCAGAGGCGCAGAACGGCUGGCUCUAUGGCAAGCUGGAGGGCUCUUCCACGUGUGGCUGGUUCCCUGAAGCUUAUGUCAAGCCUUUGGAGAAUACGAGGGAGAUAGAGGAGCCUGACACCAGGUCCUUCCCGCUGCGAAGCAGUCACAGUAUGGAUGACAUCCUGGACCGUCCCAGCACUCCAGCCUCCAGCAAUUACUGGCCUGCUGCUGCCCAGCCCAGCGUGCCGAACCCACCUCCCCUCUCGGUGGGUGCCAGCAGUCACCAGAGCGGGGUGGCCACCCCAGUCAACUCUGGCUCCAAGGUGAGUGCAGGAGCAGUGACUGGCGGUGUGUGUGUGAAGUGGGCCACAUCUGACUUUCAUCCUCCAAGGCACACCUUUUCUGCUUUGGCUGUAGAGACAGAAAAUCACCUUUCUGAUGUUGGUGAAGGGACCUGCUGCUUUCCUGAGUCUUUCCUGCUGCUUUCUUACCCAGUCUGUUCAUAUGGCACCUUGUCAGAUGACCCCCUUCCUGUUGUGUGCAGAUCCUCGGUGCCUGGCUUUGCUUCCUCAAGGAACUGCCUUUCUGCCCCAGCCCUUCUCAUCUCUCUCUCUUUUUGCUCACCAGGGACCCUUCAGUUCAGUCCUUUUCUCCAUGACCUCCCAGCCUGAUUUCUGGUGGCUCCAGGGCAGCACUUCUUUCUGCUAAUAGUAGGACCAUGGAGUGACCAGGCUGGUCUGGGAGUGGGUGACCAGCCAACAGAGAUGCCAUCCUUCUUCUCCCUUCCGAGAAUGGAGAGGAGUUUCAUUGGGUUCCUCUUUUAAAUUCAGAUCAGGGUUGGCUUGAAGUCACAGCUGGGGAAAAAGGGAAAAGCUGGGAGCAAAGGCUGGGCACAGCAAUAUUUGAGAGCCUUAGAACAAGUUGUGUCCAAUUAUGGAUGCUUAUGGAUGGCAUACUGAGAAGGAAGUCCUCCACUUGCCAUUGCUUCCAGCAGUAGGGAAUUGACUGGGGAGGACCAAGUUAUAGGUGAGGACCUGGGGGAGGAAAGAACAGUGCUGCCCAUGGGGCAUUACUUGCUCAGUCUCACAGAGGGCUGGAAAACCUUUUCCAUGGUAACUGGUUUCAGGACAGUGCAAGGUUGCAAGCAAUUGAAUAUCUCAAAGAACUGAAAACUGCAAUAUUUCAUUACUCUUUUUUACCCCUUUAUGUCCUGCUCUGUGGUUUCAGGUAGCCUCAGGCUGCACAACACAGGGGAACAGCCUCUGCAGCCUUUCUGUCUCUCUGGGUUACUGGGUCUUUAUCCUGCCCCAGGGCUAGGGUGUAGGGAUAGACCUGGGAUUGAGUCAUGAUUUGUGUACAGCAUUUGGAACACCAUGGCAGAGUGUGGAACCUCACUAUAAAGGAGGGAAAGACUAAUUUGGAAAGAUUCAGCCUUGCUUUAAAUGUAUGCCCAAGACAUCCCCCAGCUGAGCCACAAACAAAUGGGUGUGACUUCCCAACUGGAUGCCAGAUAGCGACAUGUGGCUUUCUUGUCUCCCACCAGAGCACUUUAGCAGGUCAGUUGUUGCUGAUCUUUCACUAUCUACUGGCCAAGAAUAAGGGCCAAAGGGCCUCGGUCCAACUUUGUCCAUCAGGUUUGUCCACUUUUAAGAAAUGUGUGGUGUAGGGUAGGUAGGUACAACUCUGGAGUUCCUCAUGGAAGCAGGAAGCACAUGAGGCCAUGGAUGACAGACUUUUUGCCAGGGUAUAUGGGCAACAGGAGGGGGCAUCUCUGGCUGCGCUGGAGGGUGAAAUAUAGCUCAGACUGUCACUGUUUGCUGUGCUCUUCAGAUAUGACAUUCUGGGGAUCUGAGUAAUCCCCUUUCUUCCCCAAAACAAAGGAGGAUGUCCUAGGGGAGUAAGGAACCUGUGGUGUAGGGACAACCCCCCACAACAAAAUUCCGGGUGUUAUCUACAGUGGGGAAUUUGUGGAGUUUUGCAAAGCUUGAUUGAAUAAGGAGUCCGAGCCCUGUUAAGAGGACUUGGGCUCCUAACUCACCUAAGUGUUUUGUGAGAUCUUCCUCCAUGUGUGCAGUGUCUCCUGCCCCAUUUUCUCUCUCCAUUCCCUACUCCAGAUUUCUCACUGCUGCUUUUCUUUUCACUGCAGAAAUCAGGAGUAUUUGACCAGCCCCCUGAACUCUUCCCACGAGGUACCAACCCCUUUGCCACAGUCAAGCUGCGCCCCACAGUCACCAAUGACCGCUCGGCACCCAUCAUCCGAUGAAACAGGGCUAC